GAAACCCGAAAGGUCGAAGGGAGAAAUUCAUUCGCAUGACGGAAUUCUUCUGAUUGUGCUGUUGUUUCCCGACCACUACAUUUCUGGUUUUUCCGCAUCAUUCUUUUUAUUUGAGCCGUACCACGAAGGUGUGCUCUUUUCUCCUAGUAGGACGUUGCGAUCCGUUGGGCGUCCGUCUUAUGAAUAUUUGUGGUGGASACCAUUUGUGUGCAUUUUUUAUUAAAAAAAAAAAGUGUUUAUUGAAGGGACCCAUAUUUUUUGACUCACUCCCCCGGCGGUAUAAUGAAUGGUUGUGGGCCGCUUUUUUAAAGCGUUUUAUUUAUCGCAACCUUGCUAGUUGUUUUGUUGGAAAUAUCAGACUUAGUGACCCGUUUCUACCCGCUAGUGGGUGUUGGCUAUUAUUUUCUCAAACACCCCCUAUAAAUAAUAAUAACCUAUCAGCGGCGAUAUAGUUUUGGGUAAUUUCAGGACCCCUCGUGAAACACGGCCCAAGGAGUAUAGCAUGUACGCAACUCAUUGGGAAUCACUAAACCUAAAGGCGUAAUGAAAGUAAAAAUUCACCUUUGUGGAGAAUUUAAGGGAAGAUGAGUGGUGUUUUAAUAAACUUGUAAAAGUUUUCCAUUUCGCAUUCCCGGGGCGUCUCAUUCUCAUUGCGAGACGAGGCGCACCAAGAG
rnacentral:rRNA from 1 species